AGAGAUGCACUGGGUAUAAAGCGUGCGCAGGCGGUUUUGUAAGACAGAGGUGAAAUCCCCGGGCUCAACCUGGGAACUGCCUUUGUGACUGCAAGGCUGGAGUGCGGCAGAGGGGGAUGGAAUUCCGCGUGUAGCAGUGAAAUGCGUAGAUAUGCGGAGGAACACCGAUGGCGAAGGCAAUCCCCUGGGCCUGCAUUGACGCUCAUGCACGAAAGCGUGGGGAGCACACA
rnacentral:rRNA from 1 species